UUCUUUGCGCAGUGGCAGUAUUGUAGCCUAUGAGGUUUAUCCAAGGCGCGAUUAUUGCUAAUUGAAAACUUUACCCAAUACCCCGCCG
rnacentral:snRNA from 12 species